rnacentral:rRNA from 1 species
UGGGCGGGACGGGUGAGUAAUGUCUGGGAAACGUGCCUGAGGGAGGGGGAUAACUACUGGAAACGGUAGCUAAUACCGCAUAACGUCGCAAGACCAAAGAGGGGGACCUUCGGGCCUCUUGCCAUCGGAUGUGCCCAGAUGGGAUUAGCUAGUAGGUGGGGUAACGGCUCACCUAGGCGACGAUCCCUAGCUGGUCUGAGAGGAUGACCAGCCACACUGGAACUGAGACACGGUCCAG